AUUGAACGCUGGCGGCAUGCCUUACACAUGCAAGUCGAACGGUAACAGGUCUUCGGAUGCUGACGAGUGGCGAACGGGUGAGUAAUAUAUCGGAACGUGCCUAGUAGUGGGGGAUAACUACUCGAAAGAGUGGCUAAUACCGCAUGAGAUCUACGGAUGAAAGCAGGGGAUCGCAAGACCUUGUGCUACUAGAGCGGCCGAUGGCAGAUUAGGUAGUUGGUGGGAUAAAAGCUUACCAAGCCGACGAUCUGUAGCUGGUCUGAGAGGACGAUCAGCCACACUGAGACUGAGACACGGCCCAGACUCCUACGGGAGGCAGCAGUGGGGAAUUUUGGACAAUGGGCGCAAGCCUGAUCCAGCAAUGCCGCGUGCAGGAUGAAGGCCUUCGGGUUGUAAACUGCUUUUGUACGGAACGAAAAGCCCUGGGUUAAUACCCUGGGGCCAUGACGGUACCGUAAGAAUGAGCACCGGCUAACUACGUGCCAGCCGCCGCAGUAA
rnacentral:rRNA from 1 species